AUUGAACGCUGGCGGCAUGCCUUACACAUGCAAGUCGAACGGUAACGGGCCUUCGGGUGCCGCCGAGUGGCGAACGGGGGAGUAAUACAUCGGAACGUGCCCGAACGUGGGGGAUAACGGGGCGAAAGCUUUGCUAAUACCGCAUACGAUCGACGGAUGACAGCGGGGGACCGCAAGGCCUUGCCCGGCCGGAGCGGCCGAUGGCAGAUUAGGUAGGUGGUGGGAUAAAGGCUUACCAAGCCGACGAUCUGUAGCUGGUCUGAGAGGAUGAUCAGCCACACUGGGACUGAGACACGGCCCAGACUCCUACGGGAGGCAGCAGUGGGGAAUUUUGGACAAUGGGCGCAAGCCUGAUCCAGCCAUGCCGCGUGCAGGAUGAAGGCCUUCGGGUUGUAAACUGCUUUUGUACGGAACGAAAAGCCUUCUUUUAAUACAGGAGGGUCAUGACGGUACCGUAAGAAUAAGCACCGGCUAACUACGUG
rnacentral:rRNA from 1 species